rnacentral:rRNA from 1 species
GAGUUUGAUCCUGGCUCAGGAUGAACGCUGGCGGCGUGCUUAACACAUGCAAGUCGAGCGAAGCGCUUAAGUUUGAUUCUUUGGAUGAAGACUUAAUUGACUGAGCGGCGGACGGGUGAGUAACGCGUGGGUAACCUGCCUCAUACAGGGGGAUAACAGUUAGAAAUGACUGCUAAUACCGCAUAAGACCACGGUACCGCAUGGUACAGUGGUAAAAACUCCGGUGGUAUGAGAUGGACCCGCGUCUGAUUAGGUAGUUGGUGGGGUAACGGCCUACCAAGCCGACGAUCAGUAGCCGACCUGAGAGGGUGACCGGCCACAAUGGGACUGAGACACGGCCCAGACUCCUACGGGAGGCAGCAGUGGGGAAUAUUGCACAAUGGAGGAAACUCUGAUGCAGCGACGCCGCGUGAAGGAUGAAGUAUUUCGGUAUGUAAACUUCUAUCAGCAGGGAAGAAAAUGACGGUACCUGACUAAGAAGCCCCGGCUAACUACGUGCCAGCAGCCGCGGUAAUACGUAGGGGGCAAGCGUUAUCCGGAUUUACUGGGUGUAAAGGGAGCGUAGACGGCUUUGCAAGCCAGAUGUGAAAGCCCGGGGCUCAACCCCGGGACUGCAUUUGGAACUGUAAUGCUAGAGUGUCGGAGAGGCAAGUGGAAUUCCUAGUGUAGCGGUGAAAUGCGUAGA